GUGGAUGUCCACUCUAGCUGAGUCCCAGCUAGCUCUUCAGUCCUCAGCGCACCUUUGCAAAAUCUCCACGCCCAUCCCAGUCAUUCUGCCUGCAGAAACCAUCGGGGACUUCGGCAAAAUGAUGGAAAGCCUGACACCUGGCGAGUCCCGAGAUUACAGGUCCAGCCGGUGGCCACGCCAGGAUGGAGCCCCAGUCCCACUGCGCACCGGAUGGUGCCUUUAACAGUUUGCCAGGCUGACCCUACUGGCCAGGAUUGCCAGCCACAUUGUAGGCUGCGCAUGUGUUAUCUACACACUGAGUAAUAAGAGAAUAAAUAGUAUCUCUGAAAAAAAAUGCAUCUCGUGGAGAUAGUAGGAUGAAGUCAUUUCAAAUAUGAAUGCCAAGAGACCCACCCAAGGAAGCAACCAUAAUCUGAUGACUCCAGGUGGACUUACCUGAAUAAGAAAGGCAAAGGAAAUCCUGAAACAAGAAGAGGUGCUUGUUUUUAAAGCUAAGAAUCUGGGAGCUGUGCCCAAUGUGCAGAGCACCGUGAGGACAUGCGUGGAAAUAGACACGAGAGAAGAGAAGAGGAGUGUGGAGGAGAGAGACGGAGGGGAGUAGGAGAGAUGAAGGAAGAGGACGUGUAGCCCGUGGCCAGAAGCUGACAGACCGUGAGGCUAAUGAAGCUCAGGAUUUGGUUUCCUAAUUGCAGGUGAUCCCUCUAAAAAUUUCCUUGUUACUUAAUUUCGUAUUUUUUAAAGUCCUCAAAAACUUUUGGCCUCACAAAACUUGGAUCGCCCCUCCAGUGGAACAAGGCAACAGAUGAAAACACGGAUCGGGGAGCUGUGGGGGCGUCAGCUCAUGGAAACGUAACACUCGGAGUCUCCGCUUUCUGCCUUGGGUCAGUGUUCUGUGGCCACAGACUGGAUCCCUGAGGUCGACACCACGCUGGCGCGUCCCAUUCACCACCAGGGAAACAAACCCACUGCGGUUUCAGCACGUCUCCUAAGCAGCUUUCUCUGUGCGUGGCCUGUGGCCAGGAGUGGUUCUCCAAUAGCUCGUCUACUUGAGGAUGUUCUUCCCUAAGCACGGUGGCAAACCACCUGUUUAUCCGCUCCACCUCCCACUCCAGGAAGUCAGAGGACCACGAGUAAAACAUACCUAGAAGUAAGACCUUGUUUUAUCAGGUCACCACGCUGCCAUGAGUCAGAUUCUGGCCUUGCUUUUCCUCUGCCAUCACGAUCCAUAUCUGCCACGCCCCUGCCCAGUGUGUGUGUUCUAGCACAUACAGUCACUUCUUGGAAUUCAGCUGCUGGAGAGAUGGGGCCGACGUGGGACAAGGGAGCAAGCAAAGAGCGAGCCGUGCUAUUAGAAUGUGUUCUGCUAUUGGAAGGGAACACAGAGGAGCCCCACCAUAUUAAAACCAGAUUUAUCUUCCAACCCAAUAAUGUCCAACUAUGUCUUUAAUACCUUUUAAAAAUGUUGAGGAGCCUUGGCCAGCGUGAAUCUGUUGGCUGGGCAUCGUCCUACAAAGCAGAAGGUCACCAGUGCAAUUCCCAGUCAGGGAACGUGCAGGGUUGCAGGCCUGGUCCCUUGUUGGGGCAUAUAAGAGGCAACCGAUCAAUGCUUCUCUCUCACACUGAUGGUUCUCUCCGUCUCUUCCUCCCUACGUUCCCCUCUAA